rnacentral:rRNA from 1 species
CUUAGUGGCGAACGGGUGAGUAAUACAUAAGCAACCUGCCUCUAUGCCUGGGAUAACAGAUGGAAACGUCUGCUAAUACCGGAUACGUUAAUCGAAGACAUCUUCGAUUAAUUAAAGUUGGGAUACAACACAAAGAGAUGGGCUUAUGGCGCAUUAGUUAGUUGGUGAGGUAACGGCUCACCAAGACGAUGAUGCGUAGCCGACCUGAGAGGGUGACCGGCCACACUGGGACUGAGACACGGCCCAG